rnacentral:rRNA from 1 species
GAUUAAGUUAUUAAGGGCGCACGGUGGAUGCCUUGGCACUAGAAGCCGAUGAAGGACGUUACUAACGACGAUAUGCUUUGGGGAGCUGUAAGUAAGCUUUGAUCCAGAGAUUUCCGAAUGGGGAAACCCAGCACGAGUUAUGUCGUGUUAUCUGCAUGUGAAUACAUAGCAUGCAAGAAGGCAGACCCGGAGAACUGAAACAUCUUAGUACCCGGAGGAAGAGAAAGAAAAAUCGAUUCCCUGAGUAGCGGCGAGCGAAACGGGAAGAGCCCAAACCAAUAAGCUUGCUUAUUGGGGUUGUAGGACACUCUGUACGGAGUUACAAAAGAAUUUGUUAGACGA